UACGAAGGUGUCGAACGUUGUCCGGAAUAACUGGGCGUAAAGGGCGCGUAGGCGGUCGGGUAAGUGGGAUGUGAAGGCUCUGGGCUCAACCCAGGAAUUGCAUUCCAUACUGCUCGACUUGAGUUCGGUAGAGGAGGGCGGAAUUCCGGGUGUAGCGGUGGAAUGCGUAGAGAUCCGGAAGAACACCGGUGGCGAAGGCGGCCUGCUGGGCAGUAGCUGACACUGAGGCGCGACAGCGUGGGGAGCAAACAGG
rnacentral:rRNA from 1 species